rnacentral:misc_RNA from 1 species
UAAUUCAUGAACACAUUAUAAAACCGAAAUUCAAUGUAGACAGGUGCGUCGCGAGGCCGGCGCGCGCGCAGUGCUCUUUAGUUUACAGCGUAAUGACUCGAUGCCGUUUCGCAUUUGUCGAUAUUGUUAUCGCCGUAGUUGGUUCUCUAUGAUUAAAUGAUUUGUACAGGUGUUGAGUUGUGGAACACUUGUGGCGACACUCGUUGAUAAAGGUUUCUAAAUAUCAGUGCCAUGGGAAAUACCUAGAACAAUUUGUGACCUACAUAAGUGUUGAGUUGGUGAAUGUAUAUUAAGUGUGAUCGCGGUGACAAAACUACUCCAACAUGGAUCGAUUUAGGCAAAAAACUAAGAAGGAAAAGCCGUUGAAACAUGUCGACAAGGACAACACUCCUUCAUUUAUCGCGGACGUGAAAUCUAUAAAGGAGAAUUUGAAGAUAAAAGAAAUACUUCGAACAGUGAAAAUGAAUAGCAGCAUGAGAGUUAAGGCGCCGCGAGGAAGUAAGGUGAUGAAUACCAAAGAUUUUAAUGACAACGAUGACCUUUUUGAUGAUGACUUAAACAGUGACUCGUCAGAGCAGCAACCAUCAGAAGAGCCUACGAGUGCAACAAAUCUUGAUGUGAUUGUUGCUGGCCAAGAAACAGAAAAUAACGACUCAGGUACUGGUAACGAAAGGUCCAUGGUUGGCGAUGUGCCAGAACUUGAAAUUCCUGAAAAGGAAAAUACUGGAGACAAGGAUGUUCAAAAGGUAGACUCUUUAAAAGGUAGUUCGGAGAAAAUACAAGAAACGCAGAUAGUUGAACAUCCUGAACCUGAAAUCCAACGAAAUCCACUUGAAAGUGAAGUCACUCUCAACCGCACAACAAGUCAUUACGCCACUCCUGACGUCAAGUUCCGCGUCGACAACGCGAAUCUGAAAAGUCGGGACAGAAAAUUAUCCCUUGACCAUACGAUGUUGUCUCGGCGGGAAGGUUUAUCGAAGUCUGAACUUGACCUUAAUUCAAUAGGAAAAUCCCCAUUGGAAAGAAAAUCUUCAUUCUUUAGAAAAAAGAUGGACAGCUUUCUUAAGAACACGACGGAAAUUUUUAAGAGGCAGUCUCAGGGUAGCAAACCUCAGGCCAUACAGCGCAAAGGUUCCAUGUCGGUGUCUCUUCAGUCAUUAAAUGAGAACACCGCAGACUACGGGAGCAUGAUGAAAAAUCAAGGUAGCAUUACGAGCCUGCAGUCGUCUUCAACAGUGGGAUGCAGUACUUCAAGUUUGUCGACGAACCACGGUCCACCUGCUGAGACUGACAGUCUGGCUGGCAGUCAACCAACACUGUCUGCCAGUCAACCCAUCGGUGACACCGCCUGUGACAGCGUCCACAGUCUGAAUGAAGCGUAUAUCCAGGAGUCGCUGCUGAACUCCCGCGCAAUAUCCAUGAGCUCCGGGCUUGACACCACCCAUAACACGCGAAGACGGAAAAACUCAAAUAGGUCUAAUCGGGUGACGUGGGUGGCUAGCGAGGGUCUCACGAAUUACUUCAGACGUAUUAUACAAGAUGAGAAGUCGGGGGAGAUGCAGGUGUGCCACUCCUAUUCGGACUUCACGACUAUACCUGAGAACGGGCUGUGCGGACCGCGGGUGGACUCCAAGGGGCGUAGGCUCUCCUACCAGCGCGCAGUCUCAGGCGAGGACCCUGUCAACCGCUACCAGGACACCAGUCUCCGCAGAAGACCUCUGAUACCAGAAAACUCUGAGGCAAACUACGAGCUAUCAAAUCUUCUGGCUGAGUUCACGAAGAAUGGGGUUCCGGCGCUCAAAGGAUUCUCCGUCGCGAAUGUUCCAGAUGAAGCGUUUGCAUAUCUGCACUGGGCGGAGCAUCCUCAGAAUUUAGAGGAGUUUUACGACUUAAAAAGGAAUGCGGAGAUCAAAGAAGACUUCCCAACAAAUAUAUCAGAGAAAGAAUGGGAGUGUAUAGAGAAAAUAUUACAAUGGGAACGUAAAAUAUUUUGGAAAACAAAGUUGCCUCCGAACGAGGAGUCGAGGCAGGCUGUGAUCCGCGAGCUGGUGAACACGGAAGCUGUGCACAUCAGGCACCUCAUGUCCAUCGUCGAGGUGUUUAUAGCGGCUGCGCAUGCAUUACAAGAUGCCGGGAAAAUGCUCGAUGUUGACACAGAACGAUUGUUCUCAAACAUUCCAGAUGUGCUCAAUGCCAGUUUAUACUUUUGGGAUAUUACUAUAUAUCCUAUGCUCGUGGAUGCCAUGGAAAAAUCCACCCCAUUUAAUACUGAAUUUAUGUCCAUGGGCUUCUGCCGUUUUCGUGAGAUAUUCGGUCCUUACGAGAAGUUUGUAAGCGAACAAACUAAAGCUCUGGACUACUUGCGCUCUCUAUCAAACAACACAGACUUUCAAAUGUACUUAUCAUGGUGCCACAGCCAGAAGGAAUGCAACAGGUUACAACUGGCGGAUAUCUUGGUGAAGCCCAUGCAACGCCUUACGAAAUACGGUCUGAUCCUGCGCAGGAUCAUAGCACACACUGAUACCGAGCCAGAGCGUACGUCACUCAUAGCGAUGGAAAACUUCGCAAAAAACUACGUUUUGGAUUUAAAUAGAUCCAUACGGCAGCGUGAAGAACUAGAAAAACUCGACAAUCUCGCAAACUCUAUUGAGAGUUAUGAAAUUGAAUUCAAAGACGAAGACUUAGACAGAUAUUUCAAAAUGUUUUCGCAGUUGAAUUUGAAAGCUCCAAUGGUGAAUUGCUUACCAACACACAGCCGGUCGAUCAUCCAUGAGGGUGAUCUACGGUUCAAAGAUAAUGUUAAAGAGAUGGAGGUCCGCGUUUUUCUUCUUACAGACAUGCUGCUCGUCUGCAAGAAGCAGACAAAGGGCCACCCAUUCAAAAUGAUUAGGCCAAAAUACAUGGUGGAGAAAAUGAUUUGUUUUCCCAAAUCCCACCCGAGAAACGCUAAAGAGGUAGUUUCACUGUCGUUUGUCAUCGUGGACGAAGUGGGAUCUUCACAUAAUGGAUUCACUUUCUACGAAACAUCAAAGGACCCUAGUUCUCAGAGCUCACUUAGGUUGUGGGAACAAAAAAUCCGGGAGGCUCGGCUUACAUACGAUCUUGGUGUGUGGUUCGCUAAGAAUCCAUCUCGCGACCUUUCGGAGGUGGAAAUGGACUCUUCAUCAGAAUACGGUGUGACUCUCAGUGGAAGCAGAACGGGUGUGAAACAGACUUCGGACGACAUUAACAUCGAGCGGGAGGCGCGGGAGAGAGUGGCAGCCAUGCUGCACCAUCGAAGCAUGGGAGCCUCCACCGAGUAUGACUUCUCACAAGCCUCCAUGAACACCGACUCCUUUGACGCUGCCGGCGAGGCAUCCCACACGAGCGGCGGGCGGACGCCGGGGCUGCACAAUCUGCGCCAUCCCAUGCACCGCAACUCCACUGGCGGCAGCUCCAAGAAUUCGCGUCUCUCCAGCUUCCACCAGUCUACCAGCGCGGCGUCACACGACGAGCCACAAAGCGGACCCAGUAAAAACAUUUACCGCGCCGGCAGUUCAGUCGAGCAUCUCAUACCACCGCUCAAUCCCGACGACACUGUCACCUCCAUCACCGUGAAUGUCGUGAGCGAGAGUGAAUCAGAAACUGUGGUGCCUACGCAACAACAGUCGCCCCAGAAGCCUGGAUCGCGGAGUCCGGGAUCAGGCAACACACUACGAGUGCAGCCGCCGUCCGGGGUGCUGACGCUGGUGCACAGCCUGCCCGACCUCACUAUCGAGCCGUCGCCCCCACGGCCCCCGCAGAGCGUGCCAGGUCCGCAGUCAGCGUCGGAGAAGUUGUACCAGUCGCACCAGGAGCUGCUGCAGCGCAACCGGCUGAGCGCCGUGGGCUCGCCACAGCAACAUCAUCAGUACCUCAGCCCCGACCAUCGGGGUACAAGCUACCCGCCGCCCAGCCCCACCAGGGCGAAAAAGGCGCAUCGAGUCCGGUGAUUGUGAAAUGCCCAAGUACAGAAAAAGUGGAGAAAAAAUCUAAACAAUUCAUCAGCAGGAACAAAGGUGCGAACCGGAACUCCCCCAGCCCAGCCCGCAAGGACGACAAGGUUGACUGACAGGAAGACAACGAGGAGCGAGACUGAAGCUCGAAGAAAAGAAAACUACCCAUACGAUGGCUUUACAGAUGGUGCUCGUAGUUUUCUAAACAUUCCUUAGGACGAUAUUAUUAGUGAUGGAUUAUACGGCAAGGAAAACCCCCCCUUAGCAUAAAACGAUAAAAAAUAUUCUUAAUAAACAAAAAUCUUAUAGAAUGAGUAUCGAAAUUGUGAUUCUAUGAUUAAAUUAGUACUUCGGGUUUGUGACGAAUUUAAGCAAAACACAAAAUUGUGAAAAGUUUUAUGUAAAUAAAAUUGAAUAUACUUACUUACUUAUCUUAAAAAUAAAUAUAUCUUAUACACCAGAAGAAUUAAUUUUCAUGGAAGUGUUACGUAUUUUAUAAUUGUAUAUUUAUUUGAUAAAUAUAUUUGGACGUUGAAACUAACUAUUUAUGGAAACAAAUAUUGAGAGAGUUGAGUGACACUUGUUACCUAAUUACUUUUAACUUAUUUAUUUAAAACAUUUUAAAUAUAUCUUCUUAAAAAUGUAAUCAAGUUGUAAUUGCUAUUUAAGAUGAAAAAUACACAUAGUUCAAUACAAUAUUAUGUCAGAAACAACACUUUAUGAAAAAAAAAUACAGUGGGAAGGUAUGUUAGAGUCUUCGUUGCGCAAAGUGACCAUUACGGAUUAAAUUGUACUUUAAUGAUAAAAUAGAAUAUUGGUAAACAAUAGUUCUUGGAUGACUUAGAACCUUAAGCUAAUAUUUAUCCCUCGAACCUAUUUCUCAUGUAAAGUGCACUCCACACCUUAAGCGUCGGCUGUACGUGCGUUUUCCCGUUGAGUAUCACGCAGAGAAAGCGCAAUAGGCAGGCAUACUAAUAUAUUCUACACCGCGUCCUUGGAACAGCUAACAAAUACAAGUUGACAAACACGAUGUUAGUGUGGAUUGCACCUUCCAAUCUAUAAUGUAAAACGUAUUUCCGGCUCACAAACCUACCUGUACCUAUAAAAUAUAAUAAUAGAAAUCUGUAAUUAAAUGCAAUAAGUAAUACAUUGCUAGUAUUAUAAUGUUCGUUAGUGAUAUUAAAAAACUUCUAUAUUAAGAAAUACUUAUGCAUAAUCAAAUGCAUUUUAGCGAAGGUUUUUAUAUUUGGAAGUACCCGCUUAGUAACAGGCAGAGAAUGGAUGUAUUUCAAUUUAUUGAGGUAAAUUCGUACAUACCACUGCCCGUUUGAAGCGGAUCCCGUUGCACUGGAUUUUGCAUAAGUGCCAGAAUAGCAUCUGACACUAAUGUGCAGUAUGAAUGACUCGCGCGACUACUACACGAAUACCUACUGUUUGCUCCCCGGAGGUACCACACGAGCCUCGGACAUGUACGGAUAGACCUUUGGUGUAAAAUAAAAUGUAGCAAUAUAUUUACAAAUAAGCACUCGCCCCGCGAGACUUGGUAAAGUAAUAAAAUAGUCUUAACAAUGGUUAUAGUGAUUUACCUAAUACUAAUAUUUUCUUGUGAAAGUUACCUGUUGUGAUCUUACGAUAUUAUAAAAUGUGCCGUUGCGUCGCGUAGGGUCGUAUGGUCCCUGUGUGGCACGCUGCCUCCUCAUGUAAGUAAUUAUAUAUUAACUCCACCAGCGCCGAACAGCAAGAAGUCAGCGAGUCGGCAGCUCGUUGGAUGGAUGCGCAAACCUUACACACACAGUCAGUGUUAUUGUGUGGCUUAAAUAUAGCGACCUAACAAUAGAUAUAUAUAAUAAAGUAAGUAGGUCUUAUAUUAAUAGGUGAUAACCUCCGAACCGAGGCGGCGCUAUGCCUAUAGCGAGCAAGGACUCAAAACUUUAUAUUUAAAUGCAUGUUAUUGCCAAAUUCAAAUGAUUCUAUAGGUAAACAUAUUUAGGCUGAAGUUUCAGAAUGUAAAGUAGAUCUUGUGUCUUGUUAUUUUAAUAUCUUGAUGCAAUAAAAUAUAUUGCACUGUAAGUUAAAUACCGCUCAGAAGCAGGUACUUUCACAAAUAAUUAUAUUGUCGUAUGCUCGACAUUAGGUGAGAUUUCUUGUAUUUGAUAAGGCAGCUAUUGCGUCAGCCGACUGAAACGAACGGUUGUUGUGCUAUUUCGAGAGCGUUAUUAAAUUAGGCGGACUCUAUGAGAUGCGCGUUAAGUAUUAUUUGAGGAAUUAAUGAUAGAAAGUGAACUGAGUUCAACUUCGAAGGCCUUUUCAUGACAAGAUAAAAGUAAGACAUAGCUGUGCAUAUUUUUCUUAAUGUGUCUUUGUAGUGGUUCAGAAAAUUGUAAUAAUGCUAAGAGAGAGUUGAAUUUACGACAAAAUUUUGUACUCACAUUUGUACGACCAAUUUUUCAACUAAAAUUAUAUUUAGCAUUAUUAUCGCUCAGCAUGGCGUACAUGCAAAUAUCUUAGUGAAUGUUAUUUACCACAUAUUGAAACUUAUAAAAAUUGUGUAAAAAAGUAUACAUCAUGUAAUACACACAGAAAAGGUAUAUGUAAUAGAUUCUUUACAGUUCCAUAAUAAUUUUAUUCAGUUUAGCUAUUAUCAUUUGUGAUAUUCCAAAUCAAAGACACAAAUAUUUAAAAACGGCGCAGCGUAAGCACUUGGCUCGAUAACAGCUCUUUUGAUUUGGAUUAUUGCAUUUAAAUAUUUAAGUACAUAAGAUUCAGAAAUAUUAUUAGUCAGAUUUGAAAUUAUAGAUGAACUGCAAGUGUAACGGCAAAAGUAGGUAAUAGUAAGCAGUCAUAACAUAGCCUAACGUAGCCUACGGGUUGGGAGAUAUUAUUACCUACAGAUAUUUUCAUUGUUUACUUAAUAAAUUGUAAUCGUCUAUUUGCAUUUGUUAGGGUUCUAUCUAGAUAUAUGUAAUGCUGCAGACUCAAACUUCUGUAAUUUACCUGUCUGAAAGUCGUAACUCCUAUGUUCCUAUCCUGUUGUCCCUUUUGUGAUUUUAUAUAGGAUCUAUCAUGUUCAAAAUGUUAUCGCAAUUAGUUUUACAAAUACAAUCUGUAUUCCACUGACCUUAGAUUAACUAUAAGAAAAUAAAUGUGGUUAAUACACGAGGUUAAUACUUA